CAGUUGAAACAGGUCUGUCACCAGCAAGAGCUGUAAUGUCAUGACAAUGGUAAAGAGAUAUGGAGAGACAGCUGAACUGCUGCAGAUGUGAACCUCAAACACGACAAGAUUUUUGACUGACAGAAAGUGGAACAGAGGCAGAAUUCGCCAAGGUGUCAUAUGUGGUAAAGUUCUUAUAUAUGCAAGUAGAGGAGGCAG
rnacentral:lncRNA from 12 species